rnacentral:rRNA from 1 species
AUUAACGCUAGCGGCAGGCAUAAUCCAUGCAAGUUGCACGGCAGCACAGGUAGCAAUACUGGGUGGCGAGUGGCGCACGGGUGCGUAACACGUAUGCAACCUACCCUAUACAGGCGAAUAACCUUUAGAAAUGAGGGCUAAUACGCCGUAGUAUUACAGAUGGGCAUCUAUUUGUAAUUAAAGAUUUAUCGGUAUAGGAUGGGCAUGCAUCCCAUUAGUUAGUUGGUAAGGUAACGGCUUACCAAGACGAUGAUGGGUAGGGGAUCUGAGAGGACUUACCCCCACACUGGUACUGAGACACGGACCAGACUCCUACGGGAGGCAGCAGUAAGGAAUAUUGGGCAAUGGCCGCGAGGCUGACCCAGCCAUGCCGCGUGCAGGAAGACGGCCUUAUGGGUUGUAAACUGCUUUUAUACGGGAAUAAUAGAGUGUACGCGUACAUUUAUGCAAGUAUCGUAUGAAUAAGCAUCGGCUAACUCCGUG